GCACAUGGUCUAGGGGUAUGAUUUUCGCUUCGCAUGUGAAAGGUCCGGGGUUCAAAUCCCCGUGUGUCCA
rnacentral:tRNA from 1 species